GACGAACGCUGGCGGCGUGCUUAACACAUGCAAGUCGUACGGUAAGGCCCUUUCGGGGGUACACAAGUGGCGAACGGGGGAGUAACACGUGAGUAACCUGCCCACAACUUUGGGAUAACGCUAGGAAACUGGUGCUAAUACUGGAUAUGUGCCCCUGCUGCAUGGUGGGGGUUGGAAAGCUCCGGCGGUUGUGGAUGGACUCGCGGCCUAUCAGCUUGUUGGUGGGGUAGUGGCCUACCAAGGCGGCGACGGGUAGCCGGCCUGAGAGGGUGACCGGCCACAUUGGGACUGAGAUGCGGCCCAGACUCCUACGGGAGGCAGCAGUGGGGAACAUUGCACCAUGGGCGCAAGCCUGAUGCAGCAGCGCCGCGUGCGGGAUGACGGCCUUCGGGGUGUAAACCGCUUUCAGCAGGGACGAAGCUUUUUGUGACGGUACCUGCAGAAGAAGCACCGGCUAACUACGUG
rnacentral:rRNA from 1 species